GACGAACGCUGGCGGCGUGCCUAAUACAUGCAAGUCGAACGCUUCUUUCCUCCCGAGUGCUUGCACUCAAUUGGAAAGAGGAGUGGCGGACGGGUGAGUAACACGUGGGUAACCUACCCAUCAGAGGGGGAUAACACUUGGAAACAGGUGCUAAUACCGCAUAACAGUUUAUGCCGCAUGGCAUAAGAGUGAAAGGCGCUUUCGGGUGUCGCUGAUGGAUGGACCCGCGGUGCAUUAGCUAGUUGGUGAGGUAACGGCUCACCAAGGCCACGAUGCAUAGCCGACCUGAGAGGGUGAUCGGCCACACUGGGACUGAGGCACGGCCCAGACUCCUACGGGAGGCAGCAGUAGGGAAUCUUCGGCAAUGGACGAAAGUCUGACCGAGCAACGCCGCGUGAGUGAAGAAGGUUUUCGGAUCGUAAAACUCUGUUGUUAGAGAAGAACAAGGACGUUAGCAACUGAACGUCCCCUGACGGUAUCUAACCAGAAAGCCACGGCUAACUACGUG
rnacentral:rRNA from 1 species